rnacentral:rRNA from 1 species
GCCUACGGGGCGCAGCAGUGAGGAAUAUUGGUCAAUGGGCGGAAGCCUGAACCAGCCAAGUCGCGUGAGGGACUAAGGCCCUGCGGGUCGUAAACCUCUUUUGCCGGGGAGCAGUGGUCCGGACGCGUCCGGACCGGGAGAGUACCCGGAGAAAAAGCAUCGGCUAACUCCGUGCCAGCAGCCGCGGUAAUACGUAGGGGGCAAGCGUUAUCCGGAUUUACUGGGGGUAAAGGGAGCGUAGACGGCAGCACAAGUCUGGAGUGAAAUGCCGGGGCUUAACCCCGGAACU